rnacentral:rRNA from 1 species
ACGGGGCGCAGCAGGCGCGAAAACUUUACAAUGCGGGAAACCGUGAUAAGGGAACUCCGAGUGCCCGUAAAAUCGGGCUGUCCAUCGGUUUAAAUAACCGGUGAAGAAAGGGCCGGGCAAGACCGGUGCCAGCCGCCGCGGUAAUACCGGCGGCUCGAGUGGUGGCCACUAUUACUGGGCUUAAAGCGUUCGUAGCUGGUCUGUUAAGUCUCUGGGGAAAUCUGCCGGCUUAACCGGCAGGCGUUCCAGGGAUACUGGCAGACUAGGGACCGGGAGAGGUGAGGGGUACUCAGGGGUAGGAGUGAAAUCCUGUAAUCCUUGGGGGACCACCUGUGGCGAAGGCGCCUCACCAGAACGGCUCCGACAGUGAGGGACGAAAGCUGGGGGAGCAAACCGGAUUAGAUACCCGGGUAGUCCCAGCUGUAAACGAUGCGCGUUAGGUGUAUCGGUGACCACGAGUCACCGAGGUGCCGAAGAGAAAUCGUGAAACGUGCCGCCUGGGAAGUACGGUCGCAAGGCUGAAACUUAAAGGAAUUGGCGGGGGAGCAC